UUACACUCCCAAACCCAAUGUGAACGUUACCAAACUGUUGCCUCGGCGGGGUCACGCCCCGGGUGCGUAAAAGCCCCGGAACCAGGCGCCCGCCGGAGGAACCAACCAAACUCUUUCUGUAGUCCCCUCGCGGACGUAUUUCUUACAGCUCUGAGCAAAAAUUCAAAAUGAAUCAAAACUUUCAACAACGGAUCUCUUGGUUCUGGCAUCGAUGAAGAACGCAGCGAAAUGCGAUAAGUAAUGUGAAUUGCAGAAUUCAGUGAAUCAUCGAAUCUUUGAACGCACAUUGCGCCCGCCAGUAUUCUGGCGGGCAUGCCUGUCCGAGCGUCAUUUCAACCCUCGAACCCCUCCGGGGGAUCGGCGUUGGGGAUCGGGACCCCUCACCGGGUGCCGGCCCUGAAAUACAGUGGCGGUCUCGCCGCAGCCUCUCCUGCGCAGUAGUUUGCACAACUCGCACCGGGAGCGCGGCGCGUCCACGUCCGUAAAACACCCAACUUCUGAAAUGUUGACCUCGGAUCAGGUAGGAAUACCCGCUGAACUUAAGCAUAUCAAUAGGCGGA
rnacentral:rRNA from 1 species